rnacentral:tRNA from 2 species
GGGCGGUUAGCUCAGUUGGUAGAGCACGUCGUUGACGUCGACGGGGUCAGUGGUUCGAGUCCACUACCGCCCACGA